CUCGCUUUCUCCCUCUUUUAUUUCCCAUGGUGUCCUUCCUCUGCCGUACCCACUUCCAUUAUUAGAUGGUGGUGAUGGCCACCCGCUGGAGUAGGCAAAUGGGUCCUCCAUCAUUCUCUCCAUCGUUUCCAUCAUCUGCUGCACUGUUCUGGCUGUUGGGAAUCUGUCCCACAACCCUACUGGUGCAACAGGAACCACUCUUUUCUUGGGUUGCGUCUGUUGAUGAUGCUUGCUGGCCCUCUGCAGGUGGUCAAGAUUGUCUCUGUUAUCCGCUGCCAUGACUUUGGUGCCAUUGUUGUUCUUGUGGAGGGAAUUAAAGCCGGCCCCAUUUGUUUUCCAGAAGCAGAAGUUUCUUGAUCCGCUAUAUGUGCUUCUUGAAGAUAAAGGAAGAGAAAAGCUAAAUCUUAACAGAUCUUGAGACAUGUUUGAUAUGUUCUUGCAAUCAGAGAAAGAUGUUUCGAGAGAAUCGGUGGAAUGGAAGAUGGAAUUAGCAAUAUUUAAAGAGAACCGUGGACAUUUCUGGAG
rnacentral:misc_RNA from 1 species